rnacentral:rRNA from 1 species
AUGGAGCACCGGUUUAGUGAAGGAGCAAAUUGUGUGCUUGAUUGCUUCUCAUGUCUUGACCCCAAGGACUCUUUCUCCAAGUUCAAUGUUGAUAAACUUGCUCAUCUUGCUGAAAUUUAUCAUGAAGACUUCUCUAAUGAUGAUCGUGGAACAAUAAGAGAGCAGCUCCUCACUUAUACUAUAAGUCAAGUGAAAAGGCAUGCUUCUUUUUCUACUUGUGAUGAUGUUCAAAGUUUGGCCAUGAAGAUGGUUGAAACUAAGAAAAAUCUGGUAUUUCCAUUGGUAUACAAGCUUAUUGGUAUACAAACAUCUGUUGAGAGAGCAUUUUCAGCAAUGAAGAUUAUCAAGAAUAAAUUGCGUAGCAAGAUCAACAACGAAUGGUUCAACGACUUGAUGAUAUGUUACACUGAGCGCGAGUUAUUCAAGUCAGUUGAUGAUAAGGAUAUUAUCCGAACAUUUACAGCAAUGAAGUCUCGGAAAGGACAUUUGCCUCGUGAUUUUCAUUAG